CCUGUUAAAUAUUGGAGCAUGGUUAUUGUGAAUAUUCUUGUUUCUCUAUUAAUAGUACAGAUAAGCAUAUGAAUACUUUCAGGGGAAGUGAACAAGUUGAAGCCAGGAUAAAUAUGAGUUGGCUUUCACGCUAUGACCCUGAACGGAAUGGUAAAAACGCUGUCAUCGUAGCGGUGUCAUCACCCGCUCCCCACUAAACCGGCCCAGGUAAACUAGUUAGUCCAUUGCGGAAUAUUGUCAUUUGAUCCUUGGGCUCUGACAUCCAGGGCACUGGAUGGGAGAACGAAGGCUCCACAAUAAGAGGUGCAUUAUCCGCAUAGAAAAUGCCUGUUUCAUAUGGUUGGCUGCAUCUCUUUGGCACUUUUUGUUGGAACAAUGAGUUAUAUGGA
rnacentral:sRNA from 1 species